AGAGUUUGAUCAUGGCUCAGGACGAACGCUGGCGGCGUGCCUAAUACAUGCAAGUAGAACGCUGAAGAGAGGAGCUUGCUCUUCUUGGAUGAGUUGCGAACGGGUGAGUAACGCGUAGGUAACCUGCCUUGUAGCGGGGGAUAACUAUUGGAAACGAUAGCUAAUACCGCAUAACAAUGGAUGACACAUGUCAUUUAUUUGAAAGGGGCAAUUGCUCCACUACAAGAUGGACCUGCGUUGUAUUAGCUAGUAGGUGAGGUAAUGGCUCACCUAGGCGACGAUACAUAGCCGACCUGAGAGGGUGAUCGGCCACACUGGGACUGAGACACGGCCCAGACUCCUACGGGAGGCAGCAGUAGGGAAUCUUCGGCAAUGGGGGCAACCCUGACCGAGCAACGCCGCGUGAGUGAAGAAGGUUUUCGGAUCGUAAAGCUCUGUUGUAAGUCAAGAACGGGUGUGAGAGUGGAAAGUUCACACUGUGACGGUAGCUUACCAGAAAGGGACGGCUAACUACGUGCCAGCAGCCGCGGUAAUACGUAGGUCCCGAGCGUUGUCCGGAUUUAUUGGGCGUAAAGCGAGCGCAGGCGGUUUGAUAAGUCUGAAGUUAAAGGCUGUGGCUCAACCAUAGUUCGCUUUGGAAACUGUCAAACUUGAGUGCAGAAGGGGAGAGUGGAAUUCCAUGUGUAGCGGUGAAAUGCGUAGAUAUAUGGAGGAACACCGGUGGCGAAAGCGGCUCUCUGGUCUGUAACUGACGCUGAGGCUCGAAAGCGUGGGGAGCGAACAGGAUUAGAUACCCUGGUAGUCCACGCCGUAAACGAAGAGUGCUAGGUGUUGGAUCCUUUCCGGGAUUCAGUGCCGCAGCUAACGCAUUAAGCACUCCGCCUGGGGAGUACGACCGCAAGGUUGAAACUCAAAGGAAUUGACGGGGGCCCGCACAAGCGGUGGAGCAUGUGGUUUAAUUCGAAGCAACGCGAAGAACCUUACCAGGUCUUGACAUCCCGAUGCUAUUUCUAGAGAUAGAAAGUUACUUCGGUACAUCGGUGACAGGUGGUGCAUGGUUGUCGUCAGCUCGUGUCGUGAGAUGUUGGGUUAAGUCCCGCAACGAGCGCAACCCCUAUUGUUAGUUGCCAUCAUUCAGUUGGGCACUCUAGCGAGACUGCCGGUAAUAAACCGGAGGAAGGUGGGGAUGACGUCAAAUCAUCAUGCCCCUUAUGACCUGGGCUACACACGUGCUACAAUGGUUGGUACAACGAGUUGCGAGUCGGUGACGGCGAGCUAAUCUCUUAAAGCCAAUCUCAGUUCGGAUUGUAGGCUGCAACUCGCCUACAUGAAGUCGGAAUCGCUAGUAAUCGCGGAUCAGCACGCCGCGGUGAAUACGUUCCCGGGCCUUGUACACACCGCCCGUCACACCACGAGAGUUUGUAACACCCGAAGUCGGUGAGGUAACCUUUUGGAGCCAGCCGCCUAAGGUGGGACAGAUGAUUGGGGUGAAGUCGUAACAAGGUA
rnacentral:rRNA from 1 species